UUUCCUACGGGAGGCAGCAGUAGGGAAUAUUGGGCAAUGGGGGGAACCCUGACCCAGCAACGCCGCGUGAGGGAAGAAGGUUUUCGGAUUGUAAACCUCUGUCCUAUGUGACGAAGGAAGUGACGGUAGCAUAGGAGGAAGCCCCGGCUAACUACGUGCCAGCAGCCGCGGUAAUACGUAGGGGGCGAGCGUUGUCCGGAAUUACUGGGCGUAAAGGGUGCGUAGGCGGCCGAUUAAGUUGGAUGUGAAAUACCCGUGCUCAACAUGGGGGGUGCAUUCAAAACUGGUUGGCUAGAGUACAGGAGAGGGAAGCGGAAUUCCUAGUGUAGCGGUGAAAUGCGUAGAUAUUAGGAGGAACACCAGUGGCGAAGGCGGCUUUCUGGACUGACACUGACGCUGAGGCACGAAAGCGUGGGGAGCAAACAGGAUUAGAUACCCCAGUAGUCCAC
rnacentral:rRNA from 1 species